AUUGAACGCUGGCGGCAGGCCUAACACAUGCAAGUCGAACGGCAGCACAGAAGAGCUUGCUCUUUGGGUGGCGAGUGGCGGACGGGUGAGUAAUGUCUGGGAAACUGCCCGAUGGAGGGGGAUAACUACUGGAAACGGUAGCUAAUACCGCAUAACGUCGCGAGACCAAAGUGGGGGACCUUCGGGCCUCACACCAUCGGAUGUGCCCAGAUGGGAUUAGCUAGUAGGUGGGGUAAUGGCUCACCUAGGCGACGAUCCCUAGCUGGUCUGAGAGGAUGACCAGCCACACUGGAACUGAGACACGGUCCAGACUCCUACGGGAGGCAGCAGUGGGGAAUAUUGCACAAUGGGCGCAAGCCUGAUGCAGCCAUGCCGCGUGUAUGAAGAAGGCCUUCGGGUUGUAAAGUACUUUCAGCGGGGAGGAAGGCGGUGAGGUUAAUAACCUCGCCGAUUGACGUUACCCGCAGAAGAAGCACCGGCUAACUCCGUGCCAGCCGCCGCUGUAA
rnacentral:rRNA from 1 species